GUAGAGGACUCGCUUUCACUGUCUUCUGCUGACAGGUGAGCAAUUCAGGUAGUCAUGUAACUGAAUUCGCUGUAUUCACUGGGUGGGAAAUUCUUGAUUCACAGAUAAUUUGCAUAUGUACUCUAACCUUUCUAUGUAUUCCCUCGGGAUUUUUUUUUUUUUUUUUUUGGUAAUAAAUUUAUUUAUUUAUUUAUUUUUGGCUGUGUUGGGUCUUCGUUGCUGGGUGCGGGCUUUCUCUAGUUGCGGCGAGCGGGGGCUACUUUUCGUUGCGGUGCGCGGGCUUAUUGUGGUGGCUUCUCUUCUUGCAGAGCAGGGGCUCUAGGCGCAUGGGCUUCAGUAGUUGUGGCACACAGGCUCAGUAGUUGUGGCUCGUGGGCUCUAGAGCGCAGGCUCAGUAGUUGUGGCACACAGGCUUCAUUGUUCCGCGACAUGUGGGAUCUUCCCGGACCAGGGCUCGAACCUGUGUCCCCUGCAUUGGCAGGUGGAUUCUUAACCAGUGCACCACCCAUGAAGUCCCACCCUCAGGAUGUUUUCUGGACAGAGCCACUUUACAACUUUCAGGAGGACAAAGAACAGAGCCAUGAGGGUUAAAAAAUUUGAGGUUGUGGGCCUGUUGAAAAGAAAAGCUCUGGGUAUGACCGUGACAAGAUUCCCUGGUGUGAGUUGGUAAGUUCAACAGUAGUGCACCCUCAAAAAGGCAAUAGGAGGGAUUUAGGUUCAAAGAAAGAAGAGAUUCCUGAUUCAUGUUCAUUAUAGUUGCCGUUUACUGAGCACUCACUAAAUACCAAUCACUGUUCUAGAUGUCUCUAUAUCUUUUAACUUCCACCAGCACCCUGUGAGAGGAGAUACUAUAUUAUCCCCAUUGUACAGGUGAAGAAACCCAAGCUGAGGGGACUCAAAUAACUUGCCCAGUGCUACAGAAUUAGUCCAUAAGAGCAGAGUUAAUAUACCAUCUUUUUCUUAGCUCCCUUUUUUUUUUUUUGACCACACCUCACAGCAUGCAGGACUUUGGUUCCCAGAACAGGGAUCAAACCCACAUCCCCUGCACUGGAACCUUGAAGUCUUAACCACUGGACCAUCAGGGAAGUCCCUAGCUCCCUUUGUUGGCCAGAAAGAAAUAAAAGUGCAUGGCCUGAAGCUGGAAAGAGCAAAUCAGUGUUCAAUUUCUUCAUUGUAAAUGGACAGUAAUUUGUUAGUUGAAGUGAGCUCCUAUGCCUUAAACAAAAGUGUGUGAUGUAAAUAGGGACUGAACUCCUGCAGAAUGAAUAGGAAUAAAAAUGGGGCUCAACUGAGAGCAAGUUAUUGAGAUUCUAGUGACUCCUUCAAGGGUCAGAAUUUUCAACCAAAACACAAGUAAUUUGGGUUGUCAAUUCAGUAUAAAUUUGUCCCUGAUUUAAUAAGUAUGCUAACUGACGUCCCUGGACAGAGAUGGCUUUUUGGAUUAGCUGUCUUUCCUUUGAAUAUAGCACAUUCCGAAGCCUACUUUAUAGUUUGUAUGGUCAUAGUUAUUUAAUUAUUUGUUAGUCUCCCCAGGUGAACUAUAAGCUCCAUGAAGGCCAGCCCCAGGUCUGCUUUGUUCACAUAGUGCAGUGCCUUGCACUUCAUAGGUGCUCAGUUAAUGUUUAUUGACUGAUUCAUCUAGUCCUUGGGCAAGACUGGCAUCUGAGGUUCUCAGGGCCACAAACAAAUUCUUCUAUACAUCUGCCCAAAGCAGGGAAGGAAGCCCUCCCAGACCCUUGUUGUGCUUCUAGGUUGGGCUAUUAGAUUCCCUAGGUCCUGCCUCCUUUGGGUGGGGCCCCAGAGGCUUGAUGCCACUGGGGCUCUGGUUUUGGCAGUGGGGCUUGUCUUUGUUCUGAGAUAUUAACUGUAAAUGGAUCAUGCUAUUUCCUGUUCUCAGGAGAACUCAGUGGGGCCACAACUGAGGGGCAGUGAGAACACAGAGUUACUGUGUACUCUGCUGGAACCUCCCCAUUGCUACCCAGAGAUGGCUCCAAUAUACGUUAGCCAAUCAGGGAAUUCCAAACCCUUUUCCUGAACUCUAAACAGCUUGAGGAAUCUCUCCAGCUGGAAUUGGAAAAGCUCCUAGCCAGGAGAGCCAAGUCUUAUGUAACUUUACAGACUGCCCUUUUUUAGGAAAAAACAAACUGUUCCUCAGCUAGUGCUGGAUUUUUUGAGACACAUCCUGCAUUCUUUCCUAGAUGCUCAGCAGCCCCAUUGGAAGCAGCCAACAGGCUGGAGUUGAAGACUGAUGAGGUUCAGCAGGGAGAGAUAACGAAAGAGGGAUAGAGGAUGUCUGUCAUUCUGGCUGGAGCAUGCUGUUCUGGUUCUCAUGCUGCAGCUCGCACUAGCAGUAAAGGGAGUUCAGUGUUGAGGUGAAGGGAGAGGAGCUGUACCUGGGGAUAUUUGCCCUGCACAUUCCAGAAGCCAACCACUGUACCCCCUUUAUCUUCUUAGCACCCCAUACCCCAAGAGGGAGGACUAGAACUAAGUGUGUGUAAAUAUGUCCACAGCUGUAAUGAACCAAAUUCUUCUCUAGAAAAGGAAAUUUUCCCAAUUUACUUUGGUGAAGAUUCAGUUCCUCCUUAGUUCAAUUCAGUGAACAUUUUAAGCCAUGUGCCAGGCUCUAGGCUAGGUUAAAUGACUACAGAGAUGAAUAAAACAGUCUCUAUCCUUAAUGUGCAACCAAGGAGGAAAGAGAAAAUGUAUAUAAACAAUUAUAAUACACUUCCUUGCUUUAUAGUCCUGUGUGCUUUAUGUAAUUCUUUUACUCUCAACUCUCUUAUACAGGUAACCGUCAGGUUUAUAUCCACGUGUGAACUUAUGGGCUUCCUAAUUUAUGAUUUUUAAAAAUACAAGAAAAUCUCCCCUUUUUAGAUAUGAGCAGUUAUUUUACUAAAUUAUUCAUGAAAUGGGCGGGCAUAACUUUCAAGAAUAUUCUUAUAUUGUUUUUAUUUCCAUAAUUUUCUCAAGCUAAUAUGUGGCAUUUUAGAACUUUGCAUGUAACUUGAAUCUUUCAAAAUAACAAAUAGCUUUCUCAGUGAAUUAUGAUUUGCCUUAGACAUGCCUGUAGCUUUUGCUUCUUCCCUGAAAUAAAGUAUUAGGCAAACAUCUAGCACAGCGGACUAAUAUUAUUAUAAGUAUUAGUCUUUAUCUAUAAGUCAUUCGCUUCCUUCUAGCCUGUGGUGUGUGGUGAGGUAUAACUCCAGUGAUUACUGACCCUUUGCACAUUGUUCUUAGGCUGCUUCUAUAGUAGUUUGAUCACUGUUUACAAAGCCUUUAACUAUUUGUGAUAGAGCCUAGAUUUACAGCCUUAAGUCUUUGCUCAAAAUAAGCUCACCCCUACCCUCAGGCCUUUCAUCCAUACUUACUAUGUCCAAACUCAUCUAACUGUUGAUAGUUUGCUCGCUCUCCACAACUAUACCACAUAUAGAAGUGGGCAAGAUAGGGAAGAGAGAAAGACUUGAGACCUAAGUCAAUUCAAGUGUGGGUUUGGAACCUGGGAGCAGGAGAAAAGGG
rnacentral:lncRNA from 1 species